rnacentral:rRNA from 1 species
UACGGAAGGCAGCAGGGGGGAAUAUUGCACAAUGGGCGCAAGCCUGAUGCAGCCAUGCCGCGUGUAUGAAAAAGGCCUUCGGGUUGUAAAGUACUUUCAGUCGUGAGGAAGGUGUUAAGGUUAAUAACCUUAGCAAUUGACGUUAGCGACAGAAGAAGCACCGGCUAACUCCGUGCCAGCAGCCGCGGUAAUACGGAGGGUGCGAGCGUUAAUCGGAAUUACUGGGCGUAAAGGGCACGCAGGCGGUUAAUUAAGUUGGAUGUGAAAUCCCCGGGCUUAACCUGGGAAUGGCAUUCAAGACUGGUUAGCUAGAGUCUUGUAGAGGGGGUAGAAUUCCAUGUGUAGCGGUGAAUGCGUAGAGAUGUGGAGGAAUACCGGUGGCGAAGGCGGCCCCUGGACAAAGACUGACGCUCAUGUGCGAAAGCGUGGGGAGCAAACAGGGAUUAGAUACC